GUGAUGCAAUCACAGAAUCCAAAUUGAGUGCAGGUCGCUUUAAGAAAGGAGUAGCUGUAAUCUGAAGCCUGCUGGACGCUGGAUUAGAAGGCAGCAAAAAAAGCUCUGUGCUGGCUGGAGCCCCCUCAGUGUGCAGGCUUAGAGGGACUAGGCUGGGUGUGGAGCUGCAGCGUAUCCACAGGCCCCAGGAUGCAGGCCCUGGUGCUACUCCUCUGCAUUGGAGCCCUCCUCGGGCACAGCAGCUGCCAGAACCCUGCCAGCCCCCCGGAGGAGGUCA